ACAACCCUUUAACCAAUAAAAUUGCACUAAGUAACCUCUUCACUUUAUUGUUUGUCAUCUUCAACACCCAUUUUCAGAUCAGAGAGACAGAGAAACAAGAGAAGAGAAUUAUUGCGAGGGAAAAGAAAUAGACUGUACGAUAAGAUCCAUACUCUCUUUAAGAGUUUUCUGUUGAGAGAAGUUUGGAAAAAAGGCUUUCAGGCCAAUCCAUGGGUUCUUUUAAUCCAAUUCAAUUCAAGGUUUGGUCUUUCUCCUUUUAAUUUCUCUCAAACAAUCCGAAUUCCCUUCUGGGUUUUCCUUAGAUCUGUCUUUGCAAUCGCUUUCUUAGUCUCUUUUUUUGUUCAUACUUACUGGGUUUUUAGGGUUUUCGAAAUUGGUAUAUAAACUUGAUCCUGAAAUUAGGGCUUUUGCUCUAUUCUGAAUACAUAGAAAAUUAAUUAGUAUUUGAUAACCGGGAAGAUGCAAUCUAGAAGAAAAGAGGAGCAUGUUGAACUAUCGCGAACUGUUAAGUCGCGUGGUCAACACAGGGCUGCUGCUGAAGCUGGUCCUCAUGACCCUUAUCCAGUUUCUCGUCGUGAGGUGAUCAAUAAUCGGUCUCCUCCACUGCGUGGACGGAGGAGCUAUAGUCCUAAUUCCCUUGAUGCGUCUAGGAGGGUGGGCUCAGUUAGGGAUCGGAUGACCGGAUCCAUGAUGGGGAGGGAUUCAUAUGGUCAGCAUGUGGGUAGUGUUACAACUGAAACGGCACGAUCAAAAUCACCCCUACAUGAGCAAAUGCGAAAGAAGCCUCAUUAUGAAGAUGAGGGAGUUGUCCAUAGAAAAUAUGAUUAUGUUGAGCCUGUUGGUUUUGAUGAUCGUACAAACUCCAGAGCAAGGGGUGUUUAUCAUGGUACUUCUAGGAUGACCAAAGAGAAGGACUAUAUGGAUAACAGAGUUUCAACUAUUGAUGGGCACGUAAUGAUGAGCCAGAAAUUGUUGCCAGUGGAAGAAAUCAAUGUAAGAGGGCCACAUCGGUUGCCUCAGGAUCUAGGUCCAAGCCUAAAUUUUUCUGAAACUAGUGGGCAGUUACCAUUUUCCUCUCAAGAUAUUAAUAUAGGUCAAUAUGAGCAUGAAAAAUUUCGGCAUCGAGAAACUAUACCUUCUAAGAAGGCGACAGUUAUGGAUUCUUACAAAGAAGACAAACCCAUGUUUGACUCCCAGGAUGUUACAUAUAGUAUGGUGGAAGCAUCUCAAUCCAAGGACUUCAUGAGCACCAAUCAACUUAAGGAUUUUCCUAGCACAUCUUCUGGUCUCCCUAGGACUGAGUUCCUGUGUUCAUAUCAGGAUGAUGCACCCUUACAUGUUUCUGAAGAAUAUCUUAGGAGCAGCAGGAAGCUCACAGAACCGGUGGGAUAUAAUAAGUAUGAUCAAAGGCCACUUACAGAUUCUGUGAGAGAUCCUGAAUCUGCAAGAAGGAAUAUGACGUUAUAUCAGCAAUGGACAAAUAGUCCGAGCAGAGCUGAAUAUGAGGAUUACGUAUACAGAAAACCUAGGGUAAUAGGAAGUAAUAAUCGUGGGUAUCCAGUUGAGGACGUAAAAAGGUUGAUGCCAUCUCAAUCUCGAGUUAGCUAUGAACAUGCACCAGUUGAUUACGGUCAUAUAGGCAUGCCAAAACCAAAUAUUAUGCACCAUGUUGUAGACAGAAUUGAUAAUACAGAUCAUUCUUAUGGAAGUUCAAGAAAGGCCAUUAUAUGGGAUGAUCAUGCUUUGCAAAAGCAGAUAAGUACUGACUACAUUGAUAUGCGUGGAUCAUAUGCACCAAUGCAUGGUGAGGAAUAUGUGGGUUCGGAAGAUGCCCAUGCUGCGUUUGGAAGAAGACUACCACAAGAUUAUGAAAUGUCACAUUUGGAUGCAUCUCACAACCGUCAAUUAUCAAAUUUGAGAUCUGAUUCUGGUUAUGGCAGAGGAGUAGGUCCAAUCUUUCAAAAUGAAAGAAUGAUAAAUUCUUCUGCAUCUAAAUAUGAUGCAGAGCAACGUAGACCAGGUCUAAGAACAAAGAGAAUGGAGGACGAGCUUGACAUGUACUCAGAUAGGAUCCUUAAAAGGAAGUUCCUUAUGGUGGAAGAUAUUGAUAGGCCAAGUUCUAAAACAAUUGUAUCCCGAAAAUUGCAUUCAGCUGGCGACUUUGGAAGUUCAUAUGACAGUGAGGAGCAGAUUGAUGAAGAUAUAAUUGGUUUACAUGCAUCUAGGACAAAACGGUAUGGCCACAAUGAAUAUAGAAAAGCUGGAAGGACAUAUGAUGGGCAAGAACAUCAAGGAGAUUCAGAAUUGGAUGACUGGUAUAUGUCCGAAGGUUCUUUGGCACAUUCGCAAAGGGUUCCAAUCAGAUUUUACAAAAAUAGUGGUAAAUAUAUUAAGGGAAAUCCUGGACCUGUUUCUCUUAGCUGGCAUACUUCAAAUCAUAAUGACAGAAGAAGUAACCUUCAUAACCAAAACAAAGUUUGGAAGAGAAAUGAAGAUUAUGAUGAGGAUAUAAAUGCAAAUGAUGGUGACAUGACUGAAGAUUUAGUGAAUUAUGCAGAGGCUGAGCUGUCCGAGGAUUCAGAAGAAUUUAAGCAAUUGGUACAUGAAGCAUUCUUAAAGUACUCUAGAAAGUUAAAUUUGAACCAGUCUGCUCGUAGAAGAUACAAGGAGCAAGGAAAUGCUGGUAGUUUGUUCUGCAUUGUAUGUGGAAGAAGGUCUGUUUUCUUUUCUAUUACAUGCAUUUUAAAGAGGGGCCUAUAUUUUCAUUUAGUUCUUUGCUUCAAUGAGGACUUUCAUAGUGUUUGUUUAAAGUUGCAAUCAACUAAGUAUGCAGAGGCCCAAAGGUUCUAUCAAUUGGUCGUCCUUGGACAUUUUUAAUGGCCUUUUGAAUAUUUUGGGAACUAACAAAAUCAUUACUGUUAUUUAGUUAUUUAAGUGAUGAACUUGAGGUUUUUUUCUUCUGGCCAUGCAGUUUGUUCAUUAAAUUGUAACUAGACAUAUGAUGGUUGGUCAUAAACAACUUUAUUUCUGGGUCUAAUGUCAAUUAUUUUGCUUCUAAGCAGAAAUAUGCCUGAGAAAUGAGUGUUUAUAUUAAUAAUUCGGGUUUCAUAAAAUGUAAUAAUGCUAGCGUACCAUCUACUGAAUGUGAAGUUUAUGAAUAUGUUAACACCAUGCAACCUUAGAUAUAGUAAAUGCUUUCAUUCACUAAAAGAAGAAUAGAGGGGAAAGUAGAGAGUUUCAGCAUUUGUGACAAAAAAUUGUUGAAUGGGCUAGCUUGCUGUGUGAUGGGAUUUAGGCUUCCAGUUUUUAUCAAUUUAAGCUUCAUAACAUUUUAUAUAGAAGUCCAUCCAGUGAGGUUGGAACUUGGAAAUUUCCUGCGUUAGAUGACAUUUGUGUAUAGCCCUAUAAGUAAGCUAACUGCUGAAAGUUGGUUGAUUUUGAUACAUCAAGUGGAGAACUCCGAGGAUUCUUUAAGUGUGCUGAUAUGGAGAACGUCUUGGCUUUAUCGAUACUGGAUAGAACUUAUUGCUUCCCAUGCUCAUUCUUGACUGAUUUGUGAGAAAAGCUGCUUGAUUUCAGCAACAGGCAUCUAGGAUGUUUGGUUUGAGGCAUUUGUCCUUGCUCUUUCAGAAUCCUUGGAUGUUGUUAAGGAGCAAGAUAGGAUGAUAGUGAGGCACUGCCAGUCAAUUAUGAUGCUACUUGCUUUUAAUGGAGAGGUCCAUGAUGGAGAAGGUCUAAAUGGCAGUGUAGAUUGGGAACUCAGAUAGAGAGAUAAAGCUAUGUGGUCUGCAUUAUGUUGCAGAUCAGCUUUUUAAGUUCUGUAAAGAACUUUGUAAAAAGUGUGUAUUAUUUUGUCUUGCAUGGUUUUAUACAGCAAUUUCUUGUAGGUAGCUAAAUGUUGAUCUUAAUGAUCCAUCCAUCCAUCUCGCUUCCCCCCCCCCCCCUCCCCCUUCCCCCUUCCCCCUCCUCUCUCGCUCUCUCUUUCUGAUGCAUUUGAUGUAUGUGUUUUUUUUUUUUUAAUUAUCUUUUUUGAAGUAAAUUUUUGUUAGUAAAACAUUUGCAAAUGCAGUCUACUUUUUUGAAGUAGAAGUCAGGUUGCAGUAAAACAGGAUGCUUUGCUUGAUUAAAGAUAUACUUUGUUGUUUUUAACUCUUCACUCGUCUUAUCUAAUGAACUGAUGAUAUAAUCCUGUAAAUAUGAAUAGACCUGUCAAUUGGACAAGUCAAGUUGGGCUGGGUCAAUUCAGGUUUUAAAAUUUUUGACACUCGGGCUUGGGCCAUUUUGGGUUACUUGUUCGGGUCAUUUCUAGUUAUGGUUGUUUUUGGGUUUGGGUUGGGUGGUUGCCUUUUUGUGGUCAAAUCAGGUUGGCUCGAGUUCAAGUUAAGUUAAUCAGGUUGGGUUUUUGGUUUGGGUUAGAAUUGAUAGGUUUAAAUAUACCCUCAAUAUACUGUUGAACUUGGGUGAAAAACAAGAGUUUGUUAAGGUAAGUCACUGUUUGACCUAUGUAGAAGGUGUGCUUAGGUUUUGAAACACUUUCGUACUUUAUUUCCAGUGACUGUAGAAAAAUCGGUUUGAGAUACAUUAGAUUGGAACUGGAUAUUACUUUUUAUGUUCUUGAUUUUGAUUUCGUUCUCUCUUAUCUGAUUGGAUUCGGGUUGUUUUCCUCUAAUGGCUUUGAGAGCAUCAAUCAUCAUGAACAUCUAGAUUAAUAUUUAUUCAAAUCAGUCUCUCCUUUUUAAAAUUUAUUACCAUUGAUGAACAAUGAAUCUUCCUCUCUCUAUUAUUCUUACAUAUGUGCCUCUUACAGCUACUCAAAGGAAUUCAUGGACACCCAACGCCUGGUGACGCAUGCUUUCAUGUCUCACAAGGUUGGGUUGAGGGCAGAGCACUUGGGUCUUCACAAAGCAAUAUGUGUGUUGCUGGGGUGGGACAGCAUAGCACCUCCUGACACUAUAACAUGGGUUCCCCAGGUCUUGCCUGAAGCUGAAGCCUUGGCUCAGAAGGAGGAU